AUUAAUAAUUAAUAUAUUUAAUAAAAAUAAUUUUAAUUUAAUAAGUAUUUUAAUGGGGGUUAAAGUAUUUUUUAAAGAAAAAAUUUUUAAAUUUAUAGUUAAUUAGUAUUGUGAAAGAAUUUUGAAAUAUUAUGAAAAAUAAAAUUUUUAGAAAGUAAUUUUUAUUUAUUGUAUCUUGUGUAUCAGAGUUUAUUAAAAAUUUUUAAUUUAUGAAUUAAUUUCUCGAAUUUAAAAGAGUUAAAUAAUUAUUAAAGUUAUUGUAGCAAAAUUAUUUUAAAUAAUUAUUUAGAAAUGAAAUGUUAAUCGUUUUUAAAUAUAUCUAGUUUUUAUAGAAAAAAAUUUAAUUUUAAAUUUAAAAAUUAUUUAAUUAAUUUAUUAAUUAAAUAGUUACUUAAAUUUUAUAAUUUAAGGGAUAAGCUUUAAAUUAAAUUUUUAUAAUAUUAAAUUUUUAUUUUGAAAAUUUUAUAAUUUAUAUUGUUAAUAAAUUUUAUUUUGUUAUAAAUAAUUUCAUUUUUUUUAAAAUUUAAAUUUUAUUUAAUUUUUUAUAUAAAAUUUAUUUAUAAUUAUAUAAAGUUAAUUAUAAUGAUAAAAUUAGUAUAUUAUUUAAUAUUAAAUUAAAAUUAAUUUUUGAUUAAUAAUUAAAUUAAUUAAAAGGAAUUCGGCAAAUAUUUAUUUUCACUUGUUUAUCAAAAACAUGUCUUUUUGUUAUUUAAUUUAAAGUCUAAUCUGCCCACUGAUUUAUAAAAAUUGAAGGGCUGCAGUAUAUUGACUGUACAAAGGUAGCAUAAUCAUUAGUCUCUUAAUUGGUGACUUGUAUGAAAGAUUGGAUGAAMAAUAUACUGUCUCUUAAUUAAUAUAUAGAAUUUAAUUUUUUAUUUAAAAAGUUAAAAUAACUUAAAAAGACGAGAAGACCCUAUAGAGUUUAAUAAAUUAUUUUAUGAAAGUUUUAUUUAUAUUUAUUAAUAAUUUUAUAAAUUUAUUUAUUUAGUUGGGGUGAUAAAAAAAUAAAUUUAACUUUUUUUAAGUAAUUUACAUGGAUAAGUGAUUAAU
rnacentral:rRNA from 1 species